GGGCGAUUGGCGCAGAUGGUUAGCGCGCCACGUUGACAUCGUGGAGGUCAUAGGUUCGAUUCCUAUAUCGCCCA
rnacentral:tRNA from 1 species